rnacentral:rRNA from 1 species
GACGAACGCUGGCGGCGUGCUUAACACAUGCAAGUCGUACGGUAAGGCCCUUUCGGGGGUACACGAGUGGCGAACGGGUGAGUAACACGUGAGUAACCUGCCCACAACUUUGGGAUAACGCUAGGAAACUGGUGCUAAUACUGGAUAUGUGCCCCUGCUGCAUGGUGGGGGUUGGAAAGCUCCGGCGGUUGUGGAUGGACUCGCGGCCUAUCAGCUUGUUGGUGGAGUAGUGGCCUACCAAGGCGGCGACGGGUAGCCGGCCUGAGAGGGUGACCGGCCACAUUGGGACUGAGAUACGGCCCAGACUCCUACGGGAGGCAGCAGUGGGGAAUAUUGCACAAUGGGCGCAAGCCUGAUGCAGCAACGCCGCGUGCGGGAUGACGGCCUUCGGGUUGUAAACCGCUUUCAGCAGGGACGAAGCUUUUUGUGACGGUACCUGCAGAAGAAGCACCGGCUAACUACGUG